UACGUAGGGGGCGAGCGUUGUCCGAAUUUACUGGGCGUAAAGAGCGCGUAGGCGGGUUCUUAAGUGAGAGGUGAAAGGUUCAGGGCUCAACCCGAACAGUGCCUUUCAUACUGGGAGCCUUGAGUGUGGGAGAGGAGAGUGGAAUUCCCGGUGUAGCGGUGAAAUGCGCAGAUAUCGGGAAGAACACCUAUGGCGAAGGCAGCUCUCUGGGACGGUACUGACGCUGAGGCGCGAAAGCUCGGGGAGCGAACGGG
rnacentral:rRNA from 1 species